UACGUAGGGUGCGAGCGUUGUCCGGAAUUAUUGGGCGUAAAGAGCUUGUAGGCGGUUUGUCGCGUCUGCUGUGAAAUCCCAGGGCUUAACCCUGGGCUUGCAGUGGGUACGGGCAGACUAGAGUGUGGUAGGGGAGACUGGAAUUCCUGGUGUAGCGGUGAAAUGCGCAGAUAUCAGGAGGAACACCGGUGGCGAAGGCGGGUCUCUGGGCCGUAACUGACGCUGAGGAGCGAAAGCGUGGGGAGCGAACAGG
rnacentral:rRNA from 1 species